rnacentral:rRNA from 1 species
UACGGAGGGGGCUAGCGUUGUUCGGAAUUACUGGGCGUAAAGCGCGCGUAGGCGGACCUGCAAGUCGGGGGUGAAAGCCCGAGGCUCAACCUCGGAACUGCCUUCGAUACUGCGGGUCUCGAGUCCGGGAGAGGUGAGUGGAAUUCCUAGUGUAGAGGUGAAAUUCGUAGAUAUUAGGAAGAACACCAGUGGCGAAGGCGGCUCACUGGCCCGACACUGACGCUGAGGCGCGAAAGCGUGGGGAGCAAACAGG